UCCUGGUAGAGUUAUGUUUGGGAAUGCAUUGAAUUUAUAUAUCAAUUUAUGGAGCAUUCACAUCUUUACACCUCCUUAUACAUGACCUUACUUGUUACUAUUAUCUGAACGUGUUUCUGGAAUACUGAUGUGAGAAGAAGAAGGCAGAGGGAGCUGUCACACACAGAAGAGAAGCUGCUAUGAAGCAGAAGCAGACAGAGAUUUGAAGACGCUGCCCUUGAGAUUGGAGAGAUGCAGCUAAGGAAUGCUGGCAGCCAACAGAAGUUGGAAGAGCCAAGAAAUAGCUUACCUACUAGGGCCACCAGAGGGAGUGUGACCUAGUCAACACCUUGAUUUCAACCCUUUGAUAAUUAUUUCAAACCGCUGGCCUCCAGAACAGUGAUAAAACAAAUUUCUGUUGUUUUUGCCACCAAAUUGGUGGUAAUUUGUUACAGCAGCCAUAGGAAACUAACAAAAUUGGAC
rnacentral:lncRNA from 1 species